GUGAGUGUUGAACAAGGCACCCUAGAGAAGCUAUGCUGAGCAUGCGAAAGUGGCCUUGGCAAAUUUGCCAGGGCUCUUUUGUGGAACGUAUUCACCCCUGAGGAGCUACGGGACGAACCGCUCCUGGGUGAGAAGAGCAACUUGCACUUAAACCAGCCAUUCAAGGAGGCCUUGGACCCUAUUCGUAUCCGAGCUGUGAUUGACUACACAUGCUCCAAGUUUCCCUCUGCCAGCCUCUCCUACAUAAAGAACAUCAUCUCCUCAGUACUGGCAAGAGAAAUGAAAGAGCCUGAAGCUCAAUAAAUUUGUGGGCUAUUGUAUAAAAGGAAUGAUUCACAUGCUUUUUGUUAA